GCUGGGUGAGGUGGUGUACGCCUGUAAUCACAGCAGCUCGGUAGGCUGAGGCAGGAGGAUCACGAGUUCAAAGCCAGCCUCAGCAAAAGUGAGGUGCUAAGCAACUCAGUGAGACCCUGUCUCUA
rnacentral:sRNA from 1 species